rnacentral:rRNA from 1 species
GAUGAACGCUGGCGGCGUGCCUAAUACAUGCAAGUCGAGCGAACAGACGAGGAGCUUGCUCCUCUGACGUUAGCGGCGGACGGGUGAGUAACACGUGGAUAACCUACCUAUAAGACUGGGAUAACUUCGGGAAACCGGAGCUAAUACCGGAUAAUAUAUUGAACCGCAUGGUUCAAUAGUGAAAGACGGUUUUGCUGUCACUUAUAGAUGGAUCCGCGCCGCAUUAGCUAGUUGGUAAGGUAACGGCUUACCAAGGCAACGAUGCGUAGCCGACCUGAGAGGGUGAUCGGCCACACUGGAACUGAGACACGGUCCAGACUCCUACGGGAGGCAGCAGUAGGGAAUCUUCCGCAAUGGGCGAAAGCCUGACGGAGCAACGCCGCGUGAGUGAUGAAGGUCUUCGGAUCGUAAAACUCUGUUAUUAGGGAAGAACAAAUGUGUAAGGAACUAUGCACGUCUUGACGGUACCGAAUCAGAAAGCCACGGCUAACUACGUG